AUUGAACGCUGGCGGCAGGCUUAACACAUGCAAGUCGAGCGAGCGGCGGACGGGUGAGUAAUGUAUGGGGAUCUGCCUGAUGGCGGGGGAUAACUACUGGAAACGGUAGCUAAUACCGCAUACCAUCAGAUGAACCCAUAUGGGAUUAGCUAGUAGGUAAGGUAACGGCUUACCUAGGAGACGAUCCCUAGCUGGUCUGAGAGGAUGAGCCGCCACACUGGUACUGAGACACGGCCCAGACUCCUACGGGAGGCAGCAGUGGGGAAUAUUGCACAAUGGGCGCAAGCCUGAUGCAGCCAUGCCGCGUGUAUGAAGAAGGCCUUCGUGUUGUAAAGUACUUUCAGUCGGGAGGCGUUACCGACAGAAGAAUCACCGGCUAACUCCGUGCCAGCAGCCGCGGUAAUAC
rnacentral:rRNA from 1 species